GGCAAGAUGGCCGAGUGGUCUAAGGCGCCAGACUUAGGUUGGAAAUACCAUAUCUGGUCUCGUUUCGGGGCGUGAGUUCGAACCUCACUCUUGUCA